GACGGAGGGGGCAAGCGUUGUCCGGAAUCACUGGGCGUAAAGCGCACGUAGGCGGGACGGUGCGUCGGUGCUGAAAGCGCCAGGCUUAACCUGGCGAGGCGUGCCGAUACGACCGACCUCGAGGCAGACAGAGGGUGGCGGAAUUCCGGGUGUAGUGGUGAAAUGCGUAGAGAUCCGGAGGAACGCCGGUGGCGAAAGCGGCCACCUGGGUCUGACCUGACGCUGAGGUGCGAAAGCAUGGGGAGCAAACAGG
rnacentral:rRNA from 1 species